rnacentral:ncRNA from 17 species
AUCGCACGUAGAGGCGCAAUUAUAAAAAGUAGUUUUCGUUGGGGUGAUGCCAAUGAGCGGGAAUGAAAGGUCUAAUUGCCGAAGUAAAUUGUAUAUCUAAGCAAUUUGCUGGGGUUGUGCUCAAUAGGUACAACACUGCCAUAGUCUUAAUUUUAAACUAUGGAGCGCUACUGUAGGG